rnacentral:rRNA from 1 species
UUGGAGGGCAAGUCUGGUGCCAGCAGCCGCGGUAAUUCCAGCUCCAAUAGCGUAUAUUAAAGUUGUUGCAGUUAAAAAGCUCGUAGUUGAAUUUCGGGAUCAGAUUGUUGGUCGUGCCUCGGUACGCACUGGUAUUAUUGGUUCCUACCUUCUGAAGGACCGCGAUGUCAUUAAUUUGGUGUCGUGGGGAAUCAGGACUGUUACUUUGAAAAAAUUAGAGUGUUUAAAGCAGGCUUACGCUUGAAUACAUUAGCAUGGAAUAAUGAAAUAGGACAUUUGAUUCUAUUUUGUUGGUUUCUAGGAUUGACGUAAUGAUUAAUAGGGAUAGUUGGGGGCAUUAGUAUUCAAUUGUCAGAGGUGAAAUUCUUGGAUUUAUUGAAGACUAACUACUGCGAAAGCAUUUGCCAAGGAUGUUUUCAUUAAUCAAGAACGAAAGUUAGGGGAUCGAAGACGAUCAGAUACCGUCGUAGUCUUAACCAUAAACUAUGCCGACUAGGGAUCGGAUGAUGUUAAUUUUUUAAUGACUCAUUCGGCGCCUUACGGGAAACCAAAGUGUUUGGGUUC